ensembl:misc_RNA Metazoa_SRP Metazoan signal recognition particle RNA
GCUGGGUGUGAUGGCUCAUACCUGUAAUCCUGGGUCUUUGGGAAGCUGAGGUGGGAGGAUUGCUUGAGCCCAGGAGUUCCAGACCAGCCUGGGCAACAUAGUGAGACCCCAUCUCUU